rnacentral:rRNA from 1 species
CGAACGGACGAAGAAGCUUGCUUCUCUGAUGUUAGCGGCGGACGGGUGAGUAACACGUGGAUAACCUACCUAUAAGACUGGGAUAACUUCGGGAAACCGGAGCUAAUACCGGAUAAUAUUUUGAACCGCAUGGUUCAAAAGUGAAAGACGGUCUUGCUGUCACUUAUAGAUGGAUCCGCGCUGCAUUAGCUAGUUGGUAAGGUAACGGCUUACCAAGGCAACGAUGCAUAGCCGACCUGAGAGGGUGAUCGGCCACACUGGAACUGAGACACGGUCCAGACUCCUACGGGAGGCAGCAGUAGGGAAUCUUCCGCAAUGGGCGAAAGCCUGACGGNAGCACGCCGCGUGAGUGAUGAANGUCUUCGGAUCGUNAAACUCUGUUAUUAGGGAAGAACAUAUGUGUAAGUAACUGUGCACAUCUUGACGGUACCUAAUCAGAAAGCCACGGCUAACUACGUGCCCAGCAGCCGCGGUAAUACGUAGGUGGGCAGCGUUAUCCGGAAUAUUUGGGCGUAAAGCGCGCGUAGGCGGUUUUUUAGUCUGAUGUGAAAGCCCACGGCUCAACCGUGGAGGGUCAUUGGAAACUGGAAAACUUGAGUGCAGAAGAGGAAAGUGGAAUUCCAUGUGUAGCGGUGAAAUGCGCAGAGAUAUGGAGGAACACCAGUGGCGAAGGCGACUUUCUGGUCUGUAACUGACGCUGAUGUGCGAAAGCGUGGGGAUCAAACAGGAUUAGAUACCCUGGUAGUCCACGCCGUAAACAAUGAGUGCUAAGUGUUAGGGGGUUUCCGCCCCUUAGUGCUGCAGCUAACGCAUUAAGCACUCCGCCUGGGGAGUACGACCGCAAGGUUGAAACUCAAAGGAAUUGACGGGGACCCGCACAAGCGGUGGAGCAUGUGGUUUAAUUCGAAGCAACGCGAAGAACCUUACCAAAUCUUGACAUCCUUUGACAACUCUAGAGAUAGAGCCUUCCCCUUCGGGGGACAAAGUGACAGGUGGUGCAUGGUUGUCGUCAGCUCGUGUCGUGAGAUGUUGGGUUAAGUCCCGCAACGAGCGCAACCCUUAAGCUUAGUUGCCAUCAUUAAGUUGGGCACUCUAAGUUGACUGCCGGUGACAAACCGGAGGAAGGUGGGGAUGACGUCAAAUCAUCAUGCCCCUUAUGAUUUGGGCUACACACGUGCUACAAUGGACAAUACAAAGGGCAGCGAAACCGCGAGGUCAAGCAAAUCCCAUAAAGUUGUUCUCAGUUCGGAUUGUAGUCUGCAACUCGACUACAUGAAGCUGGAAUCGCUAGUAAUCGUAGAUCAGCAUGCUACGGUGAAUACGUUCCCGGGUCU